rnacentral:rRNA from 1 species
ACCAGUGGCGAAGGCGGCUUGCUAGCCAGAUACUGACAUUGAGGCACGAAAGCGUGGGGAGCAAACAGGAUUAGAUACCCUGGUAGUCCACGCCCUAAACGAUGAGUACUAAGUGUUGGUGAGAAAUCAGUGCUGAAGUUAACGCAUUAAGUACUCCGCCUGAGUAGUACGUACGCAAGUAUGAAACUUAAAGGAAUUGACGGGAGCCCGCACAAGCGGUGGAGCAUGUUGUUUAAUUCGACGAUACGCGAAGAACCUUACCAGGUCUUGACAUCUAGGUGAUAGCUAUAGAGAUAUAGUGAGAGAGCCUAAGACAGGUGGUGCAUGGUUGUCGUCAGCUCGUGUCGUGAGAUGUUGGGUUAAGUCCCGCAACGAGCGCAACCCUUAUUUCUAGUUACCAGCAGUAAGAUGGGGACUCUAGAGAGACUGCCAGCGAUAAGUUGGAGGAAGGUGGGGAUGACGUCAAAUCAUCAUGCCCUAUAUGACCUGGGCUACAAACGUGCUACAAUGGCUGAAACAUAGAGAAGCGAAGCGCGAGGUGGAGCGAACCUCAUAAAAGCAGUCUCAGUUCGGAUUGAAGUCUGCAACUCGACUUCAUGA